AUACUUACCUGGCAGGGGAAAUACAAUGAUAGCAAAGGUGAUUUUCCCAGGGCAAGCUUCGAUUGCAGCCCAGCAGUGUGACCCCUGUGAUUUCUCUCAAAUAUGGGAAACUCAGCUGUGCUAAA
rnacentral:snRNA from 1 species